rnacentral:rRNA from 1 species
GAACGAGCGACGCCGCGUGCGGGAUGAAGGCCCUUGGGUUGUAAACCGCUGUCGAGGGGGAUGAAGGCAUUCAGGUACUCCUGAAUGUUUGACAGAGCCCUGGAGGAAGCACGGGCUAAGUUCGUGCCAGCAGCCGCGGUAAUACGAACUGUGCGAACGUUAUUCGGAAUCACUGGGCUUACAGGGUGCGUAGGCGGCUUCGCCAGUCAGGUGUGAAAGCCCCCGGCUCAACCGGGGAACUGCGCUUGAAACUGCGAGGCUCGAGUCAGCUAGAGGUGCACGGAACUUCCAGUGGAGCGGUGAAAUGUGUUGAUAUUGGAAGGAACACCGGAGGCGAAAGCGGUGCACUGGGGCUGGUCUGACGCUGAGGCACGAAAGCCAGGGGAGCGAACGGGAUUAGAUACCCCGGUAGUCCUGGCCGUAAACGAUGAGUGCUGGACGGGAGGGGGUUCGCCCUUUCCGGUCGGAGCGAAAGCGGGAAGCACUCCGCCUGGGGAGUAUGGUCGCAAGGCUG